GUGGGGAAUUUUGGACAAUGGGGGCAACCCUGAUCCAGCAAUGCCGCGUGCAGGAAGAAGGCCUUCGGGUUGUAAACUGCUUUUGUACGGAACGAAACGGUCCUGGUUAAUACCUGGGGCUAAUGACGGUACCGUAAGAAUAAGCACCGGCUAACUACGUGCCAGCAGCCGCGGUAAUACGUAGGGUGCAAGCGUUAAUCGGAAUUACUGGGCGUAAAGCGUGCGCAGGCGGUUUUGUAAGACAGGCGUGAAAUCACCUGGCUCAACCUGGGAAUGGCGCUUGUGACUGCAAGGCUGGAGUGCGGCAGAGGGGGAUGGAAUUCCGCGUGUAGCAGUGAAAUGCGUAGAUAUGCGGAGGAACACCGAUGGCGAAGGCAAUCCCCUGGGCCUGCACUGACGCUCAUGCACGAAAGCGUGGGGAGCAAACAGGAUUAGAAACCCCUGUAGUCC
rnacentral:rRNA from 1 species